CCGGAAUUUUGCGCCAUGCAAGAUAGCUCUCACGGCAGUCACGCCGCGUGCAGUGAUGAAGGUUUUCUGGUUGUAAACCUGUUUUUACAGGGAAGAACAAGGACGGGUACCUGUAGAAUAAUGUCCGGCUAACUACAGUG
rnacentral:rRNA from 1 species